rnacentral:sRNA from 1 species
UGAAUACGCCUAAUCUACGCUGAGCCGCC